AACGAACGCUGGCGGCAUGCCUAACACAUGCAAGUCGAACGAUCCCUUCGGGGAUAGUGGCGCACGGGUGCGUAACGCGUGGGAACCUGCCCUUAGGUUCGGAAUAACUCAGAGAAAUUUGAGCUAAUACCGGCUAAUAUCUUCGGACCAAAGAUUUAUCGCCUUUGGAUGGGCCCGCGUUGGAUUAGCUAGUUGGUGGGGUAAAGGCCUACCAAGGCGACGAUCCAUAGCUGGUCUGAGAGGAUGAUCAGCCACACUGGGACUGAGACACGGCCCAGACUCGUACGGGAGGCAGCAGUGGGGAAUAUUGGACAAGGGGCGAAAGCCUGAUCAAGCAAUGCCGCGUGAGUGAUGAAGGCCUUAGGGUUGUAAAGCUCUUUUACCCGGGAUGAUAAUGACAGUACCGGGAGAAUAAGCCCCGGCUAACUCCGUG
rnacentral:rRNA from 1 species